UUGAGAUUUAAUAUGCCAAGCACCAUUCUAAAUGCUUUUCACAUUUUAACUCAUUUUAUCCUCAUAAAAAACCUACCAAAUGUUACCCACAGAUAGCAAGUGGUGAAAAUGGAACACAGAGAAUCUAAGUAACUUGCUUAAGGAUACAUACCUCAAAAACAGUAGAGAUGGGCUUCAAGCAAUGCAAUCUAAUUCCAAAGUCCAUUCUCAUAAGCUGUAACUACUAGCUAGUACUCCUGAAGGAAAGAUCUACCUACAUGAUCCACCAGACUGAGAACAGAAAUUAUUCCUUCUUUUUUUUUUUUUUUUUUUUUUGGCGGUGGGGAGACACGGUCUGGCUCUGUUACCAAGGGAGGAGUGCUGUGUUGCCAUCAUAGCUCACUGCAGCCUCUAACUCCAGCUCAAGCGAUACUUCCACCUCAGCCUCCCUAGUAACUGGAACUGGGACUAUAGAUGCGUGCCAACACGUCUGGCUAUUUUUUUUUUUUUUUUUUUUUUUUGGAGAGAUGGGGUCUACCUAUGUUGAUCAGGCUAAUCUUGAACACCUGGUCUCAAAUGAUACCUCACCCCUCCACCACCUCGGCCUCACAAUCACACCUUGAAUUACAGGCAUAAGCCACAGUGCCCAGCCAGAAUUUGUUUCUAUUGUUUUCACUCCUCCAUUCUGAGAACCCAGACCAAUGCCAGAUACAUUGUACACACAAUAGUUGUUGCUGAAUAAAUGAAUUAAUGCUCACCAAGAACUCCAGAACUAAUAAGAUAAGCCAAAACUGAGAUAAUUCAUCCCAGAGAUCCACACUACAAGAAAUGCUUGAGACUUCAGAUUAUAAAAUGUGAUUGGACAGACUGUUAUUACUCCUUUAUGUAUUUCUCCCAAUUCACGUCAUAGUAACUUACACAAGGCUUUAAAUGAUGAUCAAUACAGAAGACC
rnacentral:lncRNA from 1 species